rnacentral:rRNA from 1 species
AGUGAACGCUGGCGGUAGGCCUAACACAUGCAAGUCGAACGGCAGCACAGUAAGAGCUUGCUCUUACGGGUGGCGAGUGGCGGACGGGUGCGGAAUACAUCGGAAUCUACUUUUUCGUGGGGGAGAACGUAGGGAAACUUACGCUAAUACCGCAUACGACCUACGGGUGAAAGCAGGGGAUCUUCGGACCUUGCGCGAUUGAAUGAGCCGAUGUCGGAUUAGCUAGUUGGCGGGGUAAAGGCCCACCAAGGCGACGAUCCGUAGCUGGUCUGAGAGGAUGAUCAGCCACACUGGAACUGAGACACGGUCCAGACUCCUACGGGAGGCAGCAGUGGGGAAUAUUGGACAAUGGGCGCAAGCCUGAUCCAGCCAUACCGCGUGGGUGAAGAAGGCCUUCGGGUUGUAAAGCCCUUUUGUUGGGAAAGAAAAGCAGCAGGUUAAUACCCCGCUGUUCUGACGGUACCCAAAGAAUAAGCACCGGCUAACUUCGUG